CACCUACGGGAGGCAGCAGUGGGGAAUCUUGCACAAUGGAGGAAACUCUGAUGCAGCGACGCCGCGUGGACGACGAAGCCCUUCGGGGUGUAAAGUCCUUUCGACCGGAACGAUAAUGACGGUACCGGUGGAAGAAGCUGCGGCUAACUACGUGCCAGCAGCCGCGGUAAUACGUAGGCAGCAAGCGUUGUUCGGAAUUAUUGGGCGUAAAGAGCUCGUAGGCGGUUUGCCAAGUUUGGUGUGAAAUCUCCCGGCUUAACUGGGAGGGUGCGCCGAAUACUAGCAGGCUAGAGUACGGGAGAGGAAAGCGGAAUUCCUGGUGUAGCGGUGAAAUGCGUAGAUAUCAGGAGGAACACCUGCGGUGUAGACGGCUUUCUGGACCGAAACCGACGCUGAGGAGCGAAAGCGUGGGUAGCAAACAGGAUUAGAUACCCUGGUAGUCCACGCCCUAAACGAUGCAUACUUGGUGUGAGCCAUUCAAUUGGUUCGUGCCGAAGCUAACGCGUUAAGUAUGCCGCC
rnacentral:rRNA from 1 species